ensembl:snRNA U2 U2 spliceosomal RNA
ACUGCCUUUUGGCCUUUUGGCUAAGAUCAAGUGUAGUAUCUGUUCUUAUCAAAAAAAAAAAAAAAAAAAAAAAA